AGCCCCCAGUGGGUGGUGGGCCUCUUUUCCCGGUGGGUGGUGGGCCUCCUUUUUCCAGGGUUGAUUAAAACCUGCUGGAUUGAGGGAUUAAUAUUCCAAGAGCAUCCAGGGUUGAUUCAAACCUGCUGGAUUGAGGGACUAAUGUUCCAAGAGCAUCCAGGGUUGGGGGACGUAGGAGGGGGGGAGCUGCACCCCGCUCGGCGUCGAGUUACCCUCGGUGGGGAGGCUCCUGGGUUAGGAGGAGAGCAAGCGGGCCUAACCCAGACGCGGAGGUGGACGGCGUCAAAGUUCCUGGGGCGGGGGAUCCCCGGAGAAACUUCCCCAAGUUUCGGCUUACUAAUUUAGUAUAAGUGUAUGUGCUCAGUGGGCCCCGUACAAGCGGGCUCCGGAAUGCGUGUGCGUGUGAAAAAGACGGUGGGCCCCGUACAAGCGGGCUCCGGAGUGCAUGUGGAAGGGACAAAGCCUCGACCCUGGAAACGGGGUCUUUAAGAGUCGUUUAGGGGUGUGUAGUCCCGGAGUGAUUGAGGUGAAUAAGAAGACACACAGGGCGAAGCCCCGGUUGAGAAACAGAGGCGCCGGAAAGACAAACGGCAGUCAGGACGGCCGAAAAGGGGUGGACUCACGCCAGCCGAGUGAAAGGCCCGGUUGCCACAAAUAACCAGUGAAGAGUGACUAGCCAGCCUGGGAACUUGAAAGUGACUCUUAAGAAAAACUAAUGAACUCUGUGGACAUUAUCCAAAUCAACCAUAAGGGGAAGCAAAGGGAUACAAUUACAAAAGACUAUAUAGUGAUUUGUAAUAAGGAAGGUUGUGGAGAUUGUUACCCUUUUGUGUGCUUUAUAUGUAAAAUUUGCCAAGAACGGUGGUGGGUCCAUUGCCAGAGGGGAAGACCACCAAUUGGGGUUUGUACUGAGUGCUAUAAAACUCAGCGAAAACUAACUGAAACUGUGCUAAGGAUAGGAGAAUUGGAAAAUCAGUGGGUCAGUUUUGGAUCUGAGUGGUGGGAAAUAUUCUUGUUUUCAUACUAACGAGCCCACUUCAUUUGCUGCUCAGAUAAUAAAAGGGUGUUGUCGAAAGGAACUGAAGGGGAUUCCUUGCAAUCCACCUCUGGUCAAAGAUAAGAACUGGGAACAGUACAAGGCUAGGCAGGAGCGGAAAAGGGGACGCUCAGGCGAGUACUGCUGCUGCCGAGAAGAUGGUUUACCUCGCGGCUCGAAGCACCCGAGUCGGCGAGCGAGGCAGAGAGGAAAAGGCCAAGCCCCCUCUAAGUGGAACAAUGCUGAAAUGCUCCAACUAUUGCCAGCCGAGUACUAGGAUCCCUCAAAGGACCAGUCUAAGUGCCUCCGAAACACCAAGGGAGCAGCAAGCCAAAAAGGGGAAAACAGGAUAUUACGUAACAAAAACAAGGCUAGGACUCCACCCUUAUUGGCAAAUUAUUAGUUUUCUAUCGCUCUGUCCUAAUGGUGUUUCUAGUCAGAACAAUGCUGAACACUUUACUUCUAGCCUACGAAGCAGCAAAGCGAUUUGAUGAACAAAAUGGUAAAAGAGAAAAUGGGGGAUUGUGAUAAACUGUGGUAACUUGUUUGUUCAUCAAAAGAAUUGGAAUAUUAAAGGAGGAAAUAUAAAAAUUAAAGUAUGAUUAAUCACCA